rnacentral:rRNA from 1 species
GACGAACGCUGGCGGCGUGCUUAAUACAUGCAAGUCGAACGGUAAGGCCCUUCGGGGUACACGAGUGGCGAACGGGUGAGUAACACGUGGGUGAUCUGCCCUGCACUUCGGGAUAAGCCUGGGAAACUGGGUCUAAUACCGGAUAGGACUCCUGGCUUCAUGGUUGGGGGUGGAAAGCUUUUGCGGUGUGGGAUGGGCCCGCGGCCUAUCAGCUUGUUGGUGGGGUAAUGGCCUACCAAGGCGACGACGGGUAGCCGGCCUGAGAGGGUGACCGGUCACACUGGGACCGAGAUACGGCCCAGACUCCUACGGGAGGCAGCAGUGGGGAAUAUUGCACAAUGGGCGCAAGCCUGAUGCAGCGACGCCGCGUGAGGGAUGACGGCCUUCGGGUUGUAAACCUCUUUCAGCUAUGACGAAGCGCAAGUGACGGUAGUAGCAGAAGAAGGACCGGCCAACUUCGUGCCAGCCGCCGCCGUAA